CUAUAUAAGCCCCUCUGUUAACUUUUGUUCGAGCCUGUCUAGAUCUUUUAUCAGUCUAGAAAGAUGUUGGAGAAAAGACAUCAUCCUCUUCUAUAAUCUCCAUCUGUAAUUGGACUAACAACUGGACCAGUGAAUGCAGGUCACACCAUGGUCUCACGAGUGAAAAUGAGUGCUCUAUGGAUUGAACAGAAAAGGUGAAUCAAAACUCCAACCAUCUGUAUGAGGGUCUGGAAAAAGGAUGCCCCCUGGAGCUGGAAAUGAUGGAUCAGGUGGAUCCACACUUGAACCAUCUGUAUGAUGAUCUGCACCCACUGGAUCUGUAAAUGGUGGUGCAGGUAAGUUUCACAAGUAAACAAACUCAAAUCCUAUUCAGACCAUUCAUGAUUUCAGCAAUAACCAAGUUUUCUCGUCACAAUAAGACUGCAUUUACAUUGCAAAUCUUAAUGCACAGAUCAGAUUUUUUUGACUAUAUUCAUUUUUUGUUCUGCUCUUUUUAUAUUUACAUAAGACACGAUUCAUAUUGAAUAUCUGUUAACAAUAAUUUCCAAAACUGCAGUUAAUAUGAGUGUCAUGAUUUGCACUUGAGUUUUGUAUCGACUUAAGCCAGGGUCACUGCCAAUUUAGGCAUGUUUUAAUUAUGACACUUAAACAAUUGUAUAUGUACUUCGAUAAAAGUUUUUGCAAUCAAGCCAUACAUACCCGUUUGCCACUGAACCUGCAUUAACGACGACAGUGGGGCCUCCAGCCUUAGUCAAACGGGUUGGCACGUAUGGUCGGGUUGCGAUUUUGGCGCUAUCGUAAGUCUUAUGAAUAGUAUGCCAUACAGACCCGUUUGCCACUGAACCUGCAUUAACGACGACAGUGGGGCCUCCAGCCUUAGUCAAACGGGUUGGUAUGUAUGGUCGGGUUGCGUUUUUCGCACUUUCGUGUGUCUUGCGAAUAGUAUGCCAUACAGACCCGUUUGCCACUGAACCUGCAUUAACGACGACAGUGGGGCCUCUCAGCCUUAGUCAAACGGGUUGGCACGUAUGGUCGGGUUGCGAUUUUGGCGCUAUCGUAAGUCUUAUGAAUAGUAUGCCAUACAGACCCGUUUGCCACUGAACCUGCAUUAACGACGACAGUGGGGCUUCCGGCCUUAGUCAAACGGGUUAACACGUAUGGUCGGGUUGCGAUGUUUUUGGCGUUUUCUCCUGGUCCUGUAAAUGGUAUACAAUAUAGACCCGUUUGCCACUGAACCUGCAUUAACGACGACAGUGGGGCUUUAGGCCUUAGUCAAACGGGUCGUCAGGUUUCAUUUUCUCUUAAAGAUCGGAAGGUGACCCUUAUUUACCAUAUAUACCCUCGCAUUGGGCCCCCAAUUUGCUAAAUCCUCAACUAUGGAUAACAUAAUUAUGCCGCAAUAUUUAGUCUGUCUGGAACUAAGCUGAGUUAAACCACAUCACUGUGUGACACUUCAAUACAUAUGAACGGCCGCUACGCUAAUACGAUUUUGUUUUUCUCUCCCUGUCUCGUCCUCGACCCGAGGACGAGACAAACAGACCCAGUCCCGGUAGAUGUGAAAGUCGGCACACCUCUGAUCUACUGGCUGUCCUUCAACGUUAUGCCCAGCUGAUACCUGACCAACGAUCACCGGCAGAACCGCUUAAUCUCCGCUAAAUCUCCAUUUCCGUUCUCCCAAGGGUUUUUCCCUCCUAGGACUUAUUUUUCCUCGGAUAAAAGCACGGGGGUUUUUUUUCUCCUAGGGGGUUUUUCACCCCGGGGAGGCAGCCUUUUUGGGCUUUACCUAGCUUCCUCUUCUAUACGUUGCUUUAGUAAUACGUGCAAUUAUAAUAUUGAGUCAUAGCCGCAGCAAAUUUAACUGCUCAUGCUUUCAUGUAUUUUGUUGUGCUAUCUGUCGUUUUCUGUGCUUUUCACUGCUUCUAUUUAUGUAAAGCUGCUUUGAAACAAUUGACUUUUGUGAAAAGCGCUAUAUAAAUAAAUUGAAUUGAAUUGAAAAAUAGAAAUGUUAACAUACAAUUAAAAGUCUCAUGCUUUACAUCCAGAACAUGAUGCACGAUGGGAUGCACAAAGUGAUAUUUGGACGCAGCCUCAGUCUGUCAGAUCAAAAAGACAAACAGAAUGCACAGAGCAGUGGGACUCCAUGAACAGAGUUGAGAACCACUGCUGUAACUCAUUAUGCUUACCUGACUCAUGCAGAAUUCUGGCCUGGUGUUUGGUCCCCCCGUUCUCUGGCUUGUGUCUCCAUCAUCAUUACACUCUUGUCACUGUAAUAGUAUCGUCGUCUGCGUACCAGGACUUUGUUAUUCAGCUGUCCCUUCUCCUUCAAACUACAUUUUUGUCAAGCUGCAACAAGUUGGAAUACAUAAUUAUUAACGUUUAAUGAUUUUGAUGUAUGAAAUAUGUAACAAAAGCAAAAAAUGUAUAGAUAUUCUAUUAAGAAAUUACCUUUUUGUUGUUUGUUUACUGACCUUUCAACCAUAUUGCAUUUAUAAUUGAUCAUCAUACCUUUGGUCUACUGUUAACAGGCUACUGUAGCAAACUUUGAACAAAGUCAAACAAAAAAAGAGAAAAAAUUAUAAAUGCUGAAUGUGUCUUAUCUUAAAUACAUUGUUGUUGUUUUUUUUUUCAUUCAAUUUGGAUGUUUUGAUGAUUUAAGGAAAAUGUACGUAGCAUAUAUUGAUGUUUUAAAUCAGAGUUUGUUAAUGACACUUAAUCAUUAACAAACAUUUAAAAAGGUUUAUUACAAUACUAAUUGAUAAUAUUAAUGUACUAAUCUUGUUUUGUUACACCCUAAAUCAUUAGCUACCCCAGUUACAAGCAUGAGUUUUUGACUUCAUGCAGACAUCCGCAGAAAUCGAAGUACCGCGAGAGUGGUUCAAAAGCCCAGGAAACAGUGUAAUCACGCGGUACUGUGAUGUCAUACUGGUUAACGCUUAGCCACGUGAAGCCGGACACAAGGGCUGCACUAAUCUUUGGGCUGGAGUAGCCUGUGGUUUUUGAGGCUUCCGUGUGUCGUCGCGUUAAACGAUCGCAGAACGAUUUAUUUCUCUUUUUCACCUCGAUUUUGGCCUCUUGUGAUUUACCAAAACCAACAUGUGAAGUAACAACGCUGACGAAGGAGUUUCAUCAGUAGAGUGUGUCCUGGUAAACGUGUGCUCGGAAACAUGCAGAUUACAGUAUUUACAGAGCCGACCUUGAGGCACCCACUGAUGGAUAAUCUGUUUACCUAAAAACAGGGUGGUGUUCAUACAAAGCAACUUAUUGCUCUUCUGCUUGAGAGAAAGUUACUGCUGGGGCUCUCCUGGUAAGGUUGUCUAAAGGUUGUCUUAAUUCUAAAAGUCAUUUAUCUGAAUAUGAAAGGCUUAAGUCAUAGCAAGUUUUGAAUGAAUGACUUCACAAUCUGUUUUAAUAAUGUUUAUUUACAAUGUAUUUUAUUCCACUGACCUGAAUCGUGCAGAAUUCUGGCUUGAUGUUUAGUCCACCGAUUGUCUUCUCCAACCUCUGAGUGAAGCCACCACGAGUGGUCGUGUUAACCAAUUUUUUAUCUUAGUGCACAGUGAGUGUGUCUACAUAGUCUAAACGCUUAAUAAACUGAUAACGUGUCAUUUAAAAAAGGUCAUAAAUGGCAAAAACUGAUUGCCACAGGUAGUUAUUUGCUCUUAACCCAGAUUUUAACAUUGCAUGUCUUAACGUCUUUUUUGCCAUUUCAGAUGUGCGCAUGUCUCCACCUGUGAUAGAUAAACUUCACAAAUGAAAGUAAAUUAAAACACUUGAAACAUGUUAAUGUAAUAAGCUGAUUUUUAUAAUAUCAUAAUAAGAUAAUUGUCCUCUUAUUAUGUGCAUGUAAACAUACUCAAUGUCUUUGUUUAUCCUUUGUCUCAAGUCACACUGAGUGUGAGAAGUCAUUUGUCCAGUGCUGUCGUGAAAUCUGCAAAUAACUGCAACUCAUUCAGUCUAACAUGAUGGUUGAAUUCAACACAGAUAAACUCCCACUUUAUAGACCACAAGAGUUGAGUUCAGUCAGAUUAAGAUAGUUGAUUGAGCGUAGUAGGCAUGGGCCGGUAUAAGAUUCUGGCGGUAUGAUUACCUUUAGCAAAAAUACCAUGGUUUUACAGUUUUGCGGUAUUGCCAUUGCUACACUAAAAUUUGUUAUUUUUAAAUGCCAGGUAAAAAUAAAGCCUUUAAAUUAUAUUAUAUAUAAUAUUUUCUUAAUGUAUGUUACAUGUAAACAUCAAAUCAAUCACAUGACUUAAUGAUUUAAUGAAUUUUGUAUAAAUACAGUUCAUACCUUGGAGAUGGUAUCACAGACCAUUUUAGUAGUUUUGUAACCUUGACUGUUCAAACCUCGGUAUACCUUAAACCGGUAACCAGUCCAUGCCUACCGUGUAGUAUCUAUUAUUUAGGUGGUUGACAGGUCUGUUUGCAUGUUAUUGCAUUGGUAAUAAUUUAUUGUUUAUAGUCCAAUAUUGAUUGUGAGAAUUAUUUCAAUUUCCUUAAAAAUGUUCUAACAUCUUUUUCCUUUCUUUUCUUAAUGCAGCACUUCAGGAGAAACCUGCCUGUGAUCUGCUAAGAUGCACAGAUUCAACUCUGGCCCUUUGCCAUCCCAACACCUCAUCUGCCAUCAGUUUCGUUUAGUGUUGGUCUAUUGCAAAAGUUCUUAUAAAUUUUAAAUGAGACUUUGUGUUAAGCAGGGGUUUCCAAACUUUAAAUUCCACAACAUAUUAAGCCCAGGAUACACAGCAGGAUUUUUGCUAUCCAAUAAGACCUUAUCACACUGUGUGACAAGGAUUGUUUAAACUUCAGCAGUAGACUGUCGAUGAAGACACCUAUUGCAUCUGAAGCUGCGACAUCUGUCAUCAACAUGCGCUAGUGGUAAACAAAUACAGGUAUGCAGGUCGUAGAAGCAAACACGUUGUUGAUGUGCGUUGAUCAUGCUGAACUUCUUACACUGUCAUAAAACUAUCGUAGGACCACCAAUUAAGAGCCACGAUCACAGAAAUCUCCACGAUUGUUUCACGAUUGGUAAUCUUUCAUCUGGGACAGCCAAAAAUCGUGCCGUGUGUUAUGGGCUUUAGACAGGUGUAAUCUUAUAGUAUAUCAAAACCAUUGCUAAUAAUUAAUUGGACAAACCAUCUCUACAAUGCAACACUCACUAUCUUACGGUGCGACCCACAAGUGGGUCUUCACCCACAGUUUAAAAACCCUGAGUAUGAGAAAGAGUAUGUUGUAUUGUAAUUAAAGUCACAUCUAAGUGUUAUGGAGCAGUUUGUCAUUAUAUUCACCGUAUUACAUGGUUCUUUCAGCAGUUACUACGUUACAGUGCUCUUAAAGUGUCCUGAUCAGCUUUGGGUCUUGUGAAGUAAUCUAAUGAAAAUGUGAUCAAUAGCUUUGCAGUAUUUUUGUUACACUGUGGCUGUAAUCAUAUUAACACAUAGGUUAAACAUUUUAUUCAAAAUUUGGUAAACAAACUAGUCAAUAUAAUUCAUGCUGUGAUGCUGGAUUAAACCUGGUCAAAUGAUUGUGUAUUGUGUUUUCAAUUUUUUUAUGAGGUUUCUUCAUCUAUAUAAACAUUCUCAAUAUCA